AAAAAAAAGAAAUGUAUGUCGCUCUGGAUAAGAGCGUCUGCUAAAAUGUAAAAA
rfam:Salmo salar isolate Sally breed double haploid chromosome ssa07, whole genome shotgun sequence.